GUUAUCAAAUCGGAAGUUUGCGAGACCACAGUGGCAAUAUUUGUCUUAGUUGAACUUGCAAAUUCUUCUGUCUUUAGCUCCACAACAGUUUCCUGUUUGAGGAUAUCUUUAAGUGGAGAUUUAUCUGCAGCCACUACAGAAGGAACUGCCGAAGGAAUUGGCUGACUAGCGGGCUUUUCUUGGAUUCUUGGAACACCAUAUUCCUCAUCACUUUCAUCGUCUGAAUACACUUUGUGACUUGGCUUAACUGAGUCAAGAGGAGACUUGGGUUGGUCCUCAGGUUUAACUGGGACCUUGUCGUCUUUCAUGUCAAAUGGUUUAUCGUCUUUCAAGUCAAAUGGUUUAGGUUUAUCUUCAGGGAAUGAACUUGUUAUCAAAUCGGAAGUUUGAGAGACCACAGUGGCAAUAUUUGUCUUAGUUGAACUUGCAAAUUCUUCUGUCUUUAGCUCCACAACAGUUUCCUGUUUGAGGAUAUCUUUAAGUGGAGAUUUAUCUGCAGCCACUACAGAAGGAACUGCCGAAGGAAUUGGCUGG
rnacentral:lncRNA from 1 species